UUUAAACUGGUUUGGGAAAACCAAAUAUAUUAUAUAUUUUGCUUUGUUCAAAAUAAGGUUUUCUAAUAAAUUAUGUUUUUAUCAGAUAUGACAGAAUCUUUUUUAAAAUCUCUUCAAUAUGCUUUUAUUGCUUUUGAGAGGUUUUGUUACUUUGAGUAAAAUUAAGUGUUCAUAACAGACGGGUAGUCAUGAUUGAGUUCAUUGUGUA
rnacentral:rRNA from 1 species